UGCGCAGGCGGUUUUUUAAGUCAGAUGUGAAGUACCCGGGCUUAACCUGGGGGGUGCAUUUGAAACUGGGAGACUUGAGUGCAGGAGAGGAAAGUGGAAUUCCUAGUGUAGCGGUGAAAUGCGUAGAUAUUAGGAGGAACACCAGUGGCGAAGGCGACUUUCUGGACUGUAACUGACGCUGAGGCACGAAAGCGUGGGGAGCAAACAGGAUUAGAUACCCUGGUAGUCCACGCUGUAAACGAUGGAUACUAGGUGUAGGGGGCGAUAGCUCUCUGUGCCGCAGCUAACGCAAUAAGUAUCCCGCCUGGGGAGUACGAUCGCAAGGUUGAA
rnacentral:rRNA from 1 species